UACGUAGGGUGCGAGCGUUGUCCGGAAUUACUGGGCGUAAAGAGCUCGUAGGUGGUUUGUCGCGUUGUCCGUGAAAACUCACAACUCAAUUGUGGGCGUGCGGGCGAUACGGGCAGACUGGAGUACUGCAGGGGAGACUGGAAUUCCUGGUGUAGCGGUGAAAUGCGCAGAUAUCGGGAGAACACCGGUGGCGAAGGCGGUUCUGCUGGGCCGUGACCUGAC
rnacentral:rRNA from 1 species